GACGAACGCUGGCGGCGUGCUUAACACAUGCAAGUCGAACGGACAGGCCCUGAUUUUGUUGGGUGCUCGAGUGGCGAACGGGUGAGUAACACGUGAGUAACCUGCCCUUGACUUUCGGGUAACUUCAGGGAACUGGGGCUAAUACCGGAUAGGAUCUAUUGCUGCACGGUGGGGGUUGGAAAGAUUCGGCGGUUGGGGCUAGACUCGCGGCUUAUCAGCUUGUUGGUGAGGUAGUGGCGUACCAAGGCUUUGACGGGUAGCCGGCCUGAGAGGGUGACCGGCGACAUGAGGACUAAGGUACGGCGCAGAAGCGUACGGGAGGCAGUGGGGGAGAAUCUUACACAGUAGCGGGAAGCCUGAUGCAAAAGCCCUCCGUGCGGGAUACCGGGCUUCGGGUGAUGAACCAAUUUCGCCUGAGACGAAGCGGGAGUGACGGUAAUGGGUAAAAAAGCAACGGCUAACUACGUG
rnacentral:rRNA from 1 species